UACGUAGGGUGCAAGCGUUAAUCGGAAUUACUGGGCGUAAAGCGUGCGCAGGCGGCUAUGCAAGACAGAUGUGAAAUCCCCGGGCUCAACCUGGGAACUGCAUUUGUGACUGCAUGGCUAGAGUACGGUAGAGGGGGAUGGAAUUCCGCGUGUAGCAGUGAAAUGCGUAGAUAUGCGGAGGAACACCGAUGGCGAAGGCAAUCCCCUGGACCUGUACUGACGCUCAUGCACGAAAGCGUGGGGAGCAAACGAGG
rnacentral:rRNA from 1 species